GCCUUAUCAAGAGAGGCGGAGGGACUUGGCCCGAUGAAACCUCAGCAACCAGCCCAUACGGCACGGUGCUAAAUCCAACAGGUAUACCUGAAAAGAUAAGGA
rnacentral:ncRNA from 15 species